CCCGAAUACAAUAAACUUCAUUUCUAUAAGUUGGACACAGCAAAAGGAAACAGGCAGAGCCAGAGCCUGUACUUGUUUUUAGGGUUGCAGCUCAGAGCUUCAAAUCAUCGACAGAGAGAGUUUGUUUGUGAGCGAGAUACAGAGAAGGGAGGGGAACCGGAGCUCAUAGGUUUAUUCCGUUUUGGUGGUGCUAGAUUGGGAAUUCGCAUUCCAGUGUUUCGGUCAUCGGAUUUCGUUGGGGAUAACCAAUUCCGGUUCGAUGUUUAACCGCAA
rnacentral:misc_RNA from 1 species